rnacentral:pre_miRNA from 1 species
CUGCUACUUCCUCCGUUCGAAAAAGCUUGUCCUAAUCUUGUUCCUCAAAUGGAUGUAUCUAGCACCAACUUGAUGCUAGAUACAUCUGUUUGAGAGACAGGUUUUUGGAACGGAGGGAGUACGUA